GCACUGGGAUGAACUAGCAUGCGAGUCAUUGUAGCAAUACAAGGCAGACGGCUCAGUAACGCGUAGUCAACCUACCCUAUGGACGGGAAUAACCUCGGGAAACUGAGAAUAAUGCCCGAUAGAACAUUAUACCUGGAACGGUUUAUGUUUCAAAUGAUUUAUCGCCGUAGGAUGGGACUGCGGCCUAUCAGUUUGUUGGUGAGGUAAUGGCCCACCAAGACUAUUACGGGUACGGGCUCUGAGAGGAGUAGCCCGGAGAUGGGUACUGAGACACGGACCCAGGCCCUAUGGGGCGCAGCAGGCGAGAAAACUUUGCAAUGUGCGAAAGCACGACAAGGUUAAUCCGAGUGGUUUCUGCUAAAGGAACCUUUUGUCAGUCCUAGAAACACUGGUGAAUAAGGGGUGGGCAAGUUCUGGUGUCAGCCGCCGCGGUAAAACCAGCACCUCAAGUGGUCAGGAUGAUUAUUGGGCCUAAAGCAUCCGUAGCCUGCUUUGUAAGUUUUCGGUUAAAUCCAUACGCUCAACGUAUGGGCUGCCGGGAAUACUGCAAAGCUAGGGAGUGGGAGAGGUAGACGGUACUCGGUAGGAAGGGGUAAAAUCCUUUGAUCUAUUGAUGACCACCUGUGGCGAAGGCGGUCUACCAGAACACGUCCGACGGUGAGGGAUGAAAGCUGGGGGAGCAAACCGGAUUAGAUACCCGGGUAGUCCCAGCUGUAAACUAUGCAAACUCAGUGAUGCAUUGGCUUGAUGCCAAUGCAGUGCUGCAGGGAAGCCGUUAAGUUUGCCGCCUGGGGAAGUACGUACACAAGUAUGAAACUUAAAGGAAUUGGCGGGGGAGCACCACAAGGGGUGAAGCCUGCGGUUCAAUUGGAUUCAACGCCGGG
rnacentral:rRNA from 1 species